rnacentral:rRNA from 1 species
UCCCCUAGUAACGGCGAGUGAAGCGGGAAGAGCUCAAAUUUGUAAUCUGGCACUUUCAGUGUCCGAGUUGUAAUCUCGAGAAGUAUUUUCCGCGCCGGACCGCAUACAAGUCUGUUGGAAUACAGCGUCAUAGUGGUGAGAACCCCGUAACUGAUGCGGAUGCCCGGUGCUUUGUGAUAUACUUUCGAAGAGUCGAGUUGUUUGGGAAUGCAGCUCAAAUUGGGUGGUAAAUUCCAUCUAAAGCUAAAUAUUGGAGCAAGACCGAUAGCGAACAAGUACCGUGAGGGAAAGAUGAAAAGCACUUUGGAAAGAGAGUUAACAGUACGUGAAAUUGUUGGAAGGGAAACGCUUGAAGUCAGACUUGCUAUUCGGAGUUCAGCCGCAAGGUGUAUUCUUCGAUUUGCAGGCCAGCAUCAGUUUUUGGGGGUGGAAAAUCGUGGUUUGAAGGUAGCAGUUUCGGCUGUGUUAUAGCUUUCCACUGGAUUCAUCUUCGGGGACUGAGGAACGCAGUACGCUUUUUGCAAGGCUCUCGAGCUUUUCGUACUUAGGAUGCUGGUGGAAUGGCUUUAAACGACCCGUCUUGAAACACGGACCAAGGAGUCUAACAUGCUUGCGAGUGUUUGGGUGUCAAACCCGGACGCGCAAUGAAAGUGAAUGGAGGUGGGAUCCGCAAGGUGCACCAUCGACCGAUCUGGAUUUUCUAAGAUGGAUUUGAGUAAGAGCAAUUAUGUUGGGACCCGAAAGAUGGUGAACUAUGCCUGAAUAGGGCGAAGCCAGAGGAAACUCUGGUGGAGGCUCGUAGCGGUUCUGACGUGCAAAUCGAUCGUCAAAUUUGGGUAUAGGGGCGAAAGACUAAUCGAACCAUCUAGUAGCUGGUUCCUGCCGAAGUUUCCCUCAGGAUAGCAGAAACUCACAUCAGUUCUAUGAGGUAAAGCGAAUGAUUAGAGGCCUUGGGGUUGAAACAACCUUAACCUAUUCUCAAACUUUAAAUAUGUAGGAAGACCUUGCUACUU